CGGUCGUUAACGACGCAACGCGUGAAGUGUCAAACGGAAGAGCACGUUGCUUCGAGAGUUCGUUUAGGCGCGUAGUACUGUGGUCACACGGUGCUCUUUCCUUGACCCAGAUUUUCCGUCCACGAAGGCGCCCAUUUCUAUGAGAAAAAUCGCGGCAAACUAGCGUACUCGAUUAUUUCAAAGUCGUACGGAAAAUAAGUGGAUGGGGGUUAGGGGGGAAGGGGAGGAGGAAAGAAGUAAGAGUAGUAGGAGUCACAGCAGUCAGUAGUAGUAAUAGUUGUAGUAGUAGUAGUAGUAGUAGUAGUAGUAGUAGUAGUAGUAGUAGUAGUAGUAGUAGUAGUAAGAGGAGGAAGAAGAGAAGGAGGAGGAGGAGAAGGAAGAAAUAACGAAAAUUAGCCUGCUCUGCGUGUGCCAACUUACGAUUUGGUACCCAACGGUCGGAGACUUCUUCUGUACUUCUCAGUCAAGCGUGUCAAGGUCGUACGAAGAGGCACAUAGUAGCGCUCGUCCAGAAUACGCGGCAGGUGUAGCGUGGCACGACCUGCACGCAUUUGCAUCUGAUCUUCUACACAAUUGCAAUGAAGGAGAAAAAUAGACACAGAAAAAGAGAGAAAGAAAGAAAGAGACAGAGAGAGAGAGAGAGAGAGAGAGAAAGAAAAAGAUAGAGAAAGGGAGAGAGAGAGAGAGAGAGAGAGAAAGAGAAAGAGAGAUAAUUAACGAUACAUCGAGACGAGGACACAAGAAAGAAAAAUGAGUUAACGAUUGCAUAAGGAAUCGUUGAACAAAUUUAGAACGCGCGUCAUCGGAUGGACCCCAGCGAUACGGCACAUGAGAGGACGUUGAUCGCGGGUGGUGUAUGGAAACGGGCCCAAGGUUACCAAAUGGAGACUGCCCAAAAACCCAAAUACAUACAAUUAUAUCGGACGAUUGGGCACGAGCUAUGUAUACGUCUAGCAACGAAUCUCUUUUGCUUGCGAAAGGACCACCCCACUCCCAUCACCAUCAUCGGCCAUUAACUUUCGUUACAGUAUACAAGUCUCAAGGUAACCUUGGUUCUGGCGUAAACAACUUCUAGAAAGCAAGUUCAAACGCCUGUCAAACUGCUGAACACAUUCUAUAGAUGACGAGCUUCUUGCUAAUCGCCGGUGUCGCUGGCCGCGCUCGAGGUCUCCUUGUAAGAUUCCAACGUGUGCGUCACGCGAUUCUACGUCUCUCUUGGAACGUACGACGACGACGACGACGACGACGACGACGACGACGACGACGACGACGACGACGACGACGACGACGACGACGAUGAAGACGACGACGACGAUGAAGACGAUGAAGACGAUGAAGACGAUGAAGACGAUGGCAAAUUCGCGCAUAUUUCAAAAGAAAAAGAAAGGAAAGGUGGAUUGCGGAUAGCGACGGAAAAAGGGUGGGAGACAUGGAGAAUGCCACUCGGGUGAGAAUGGAAAAACGAAGGAGAUCCGAUAUAUAUAUAUAUAUAUAUAUAUAGAGAGAGAGAGAGAGAGAGAGAGAGAGAGAGAUAGGGAGAGAGUGAGAGUGAGAGAGAAAACUACGACGACAAGGAACGUGGGAAGAACAGAGAGGAAAUGGUUAUCGAAAAGAAUUCGUCGAGUGGUUCUCCUCUUCGAGGCUUCGGCCAUUCAUAUCGAGCGCACCAGAGAAGAGUCUCUUUCUUUGUCCCUUUUUUUUCCCCUUCUCUUUCUUCUUUUUUAUUUUUCCUUCCUUCUUUCUUUUCUUUUUCUUUUUUUUUUUUUGACUUUUUUCUUUCCUUUUUUUUUUUUUUUUAUCGCUCCACAAUUCACACAAGCCUCCCCUCACUCUCACUCUCACUCUCUUUCUCUCUCCCUCUCUCUCUCUCUCUCUCUCUCUCUCUCUCUCCUCCCUCUCUUCCUUCUUCUUCUUCUUUUCCUUCUUGUCUUCUAUUUACUGGCACACGGACUUUCACCGAUUUUUUUUUUUUUUCAACGAUUCAGCGAAACGCUGAGAUUACAUUCUCUUCUUUAUAAACGAUACGAAUGAUUCUAUUUUUUUAUUACGUAUGCACGUACAGUUUAUGAUUCACUUAUCAAUAAUACGCUUUUAACGUUCGUAAUAUACAAAUUCCACUUUCAAAGUGAUAAAUUUUUAAAGAUGAUAGAGACGCGAGGUCUUUUCAAUGUCGCGCUAAUGGAUGACUAAGAUCGAGAACGGGAAUUUUCCCCUUUAUAAUAUGCGAAAUCUGUGUUACGUUAAACGCGAUUAAUUGGUAUCAUGUUCUAACAAUAGUUCGAUCGGAAAUGACGUUGUUGAUUCGUUAUA